CAGGUGAGAAUCCUGCACACCGAUAGCCCAAGGAUUCCAGGGGAAGGUUCGUCCGCCCUGGGUAAGUCGGGACCUAAGGCGAGGCCGAAAGGCGUAGUCGAUGGAAAACAGGCAGAUAUUCCUGUACCCGCGAUGGAAAUGAAGGAAUGACGGAGAAGGCUAGCAUGAGCCACUUAUUGGAUUGUGGUCGAAGCGAAUAGCAGGUGCAUAGUAAAAUGCGUGCACGGGAUGUAAAACGUGAUAGGUAAGCGAAACCUUUGGGGAGUAGCGAAGCAUGCGAGGCCAGCUUCCAGGAAAAGUUUCUAGUGCUGAUUCCAUAGCGGCCCGUACCAAAACCGACACAGGUGGGCAAGGAGAGUAUCCUGAGGUGAGCGAGAGAACUGUUGCCAAGGAACUCGGCAAAAUGACUCCGUAAGUUAGCGAGAAGGAGUGCUUAUGAAAGUAAGCCGCAGUGAAGAGGCCCAAGCGACUGUUUAACUAAAACACAGCUCUCUGCGAAGUCGCAAGACGAAGUAUAGGGGGUGACGCCUGCCCGGUGCUGGAAGGUUAAGAGGAUUUGUCAGUUUCGACGAAGCAAUGAAUUGAAGCCCCAGUGAACGGCGGCCGUAACUAUAACGGUCCUAAGGUAGCGAAAUUCCUUGUCAGGUAAGUUCUGACCCGCACGAAAGGCGUAACGAUUUGGGCGCUGUCUCGGCAGCAGACUCGGUGAAAUCUUAGUACCUGUGAAAAUGCAGGUUACCCGCAACUAGACGGAAAGACCCCAUGGAGCUUUACUGCAGCCUGAUAUUGGAUUUUGAUCAGAGAUGUACAGGAUAGGUGGGAGACGAAGAAGGAUGCACGCCAGUGUAUCUGGAGUCGACGUUGGGAUACCACUCUUGUCUGAUUGGAGUUCUAACCUGCGUCCAUGAAGCUGGACGGGGGACCGUGUCAGGCAGGCAGUUUGACUGGGGCGGUCGCCUCCCAAAGAGUAACGGAGGCGCCCAAAGGUACGCUCAGAUUGGACGGAAAUCAAUCGGCGAGUGCAAAUGCAGAAGCGUGCUUGACUGUGAGACAAACAGGUCGAACAGGGACGAAAGUCGGGAUUAGUGAUCCGGCGGUGCCGAAUGGAAGGGCCGUCGCUCAACGGAUAAAAGCUACCCUGGGGAUAACAGGCUGAUCUCGCCCAAGAGUUCACAUCGACGGCGAGGUUUGGCACCUCGAUGUCGGCUCAUCGCAUCCUGGAGCUGAAUUCGGUUCCAAGGGUUGGGCUGUCCGCCCAUUAAAGCGGUACGCGAGCUGGGUUCAGAACGUCGUGAGACAGUUCGGUCCCUAUCUGUUGUGGGCGUAGGAGAUUUGAGGAGAGCUGUCCUUAGUACGAGAGGACCGGGAUGGACCUACCGCUGGUGCACCGGUUGUUGUGCCAACAGCAUAGCCGGGUAGCUAAGUAGGGAAGGGAUAAGCGCUGAAAGCAUCUAAGCGCGAAGCCUACUCCAAGAUGAGAUCUCCCAUACGCAAGUAGUAAGACCCCUUGAAGACGACGAGGUAGAUAGGUCAGGGAUGGAAGCGCAGCGAUGCGUGGAGUUGACUGAUACUAAUAGGUCGAGGACUUAAUCAA
rnacentral:rRNA from 1 species